rnacentral:rRNA from 1 species
UUGAAAGGGAAACGAUUGAAGUCAGUCGUGCUGGCGCGAAAUCAACCCUCUCGUCGAGAGGACACAUGGCGUGGCGAGCCUCAACCGUCACGAAGCGUGAACUCUUGGCGAAAAGGAGCACUUUCGUGUCCGCUGGUUAACAUCAAUUUCGAACGUCAUAAAAAGGCUGGAGGGAUGUGGCUCCUUCGGGAGUGUUAUAACCUUUAGCGGAAUGUGGUGGUCGGGAUUGAGGAUUGCAACGAAUACCUUUAGGGCUGUUCCACCUGGCCUCUCUUUGGUAUCCUGGUGACGACAGCUUGCUGACGUUGUUAGGAUUCGCCAUUGAACAGGCUAGAGUGUGAGCAAAUUCGUUAAGGAUGUUGACGUA